UGGAGGGACUCAGUCAAGGAAUCUGCAGCCUUGGACUUAGAACAGCUGAGCUGGGCUAUCGUGGAGAGGACA